UACGUAGGGUGCAAGCGUUGUCCGGAAUUAUUGGGCGUAAAGAGCUCGUAGGCGGUCUGUCGCGUCUGCUGUGAAAACUCAGGGCUUAACCCUGAGCUUGCAGUGGGUACGGGUAGACUAGAGUGCGGUAGGGGAGACUGGAAUUCCUGGUGUAGCGGUGAAAUGCGCAGAUAUCAGGAGGAACACCGGUGGCGAAGGCGGGUCUCUGGGCCGUAACUGACGCUGAGGCACGAAAGCGUGGGGAGCAAACAGG
rnacentral:rRNA from 1 species